UAAUGGUUUGGUCCUAGCCUUACUAUUAAUUUAGGUUAUAUUUAUACAUGCAAGUAUCAGCUAUCCAGUGAAAAUGCCCUUUUUUAUCAUGACAUAAACAAGGAGCAGAUAUCAGGCACCAUAAUAGCCCAAGACAUCUUGCUAAGCCACACCUUUACAGGAAUUCAGCAGUAAUAAACAUUGAACACUAAGCGCCAUAAAAGCUUGAUUCAGUAAUAACAUUAAAAGUCGGUAAAUCCCGUGCCAGCCACCGCGGUUAUACGAGAGACUUCAAUUAAUAGCCACGGCUCAAAGGGUGGUUAAAAACAAAUGAACAAAUGAACAAAUGAACAAAUGAACAAAUGCAAUAGAAUUAAAAGUUAAUUAAGCUGUUUUACGUAAUUAUUAACCAUAAACUCAAUGACGAAAGUAAUUCUAGAUAAUGACCCCACGAAAAUUAGGUUACAAACUAGGAUUAGAUACCCUACUAUGCCUAAUUGUAAACUUUGAAGCAUCCGCCUGAGAACUACGAGCCACAGCUUAAAACUCAAAGGACUUGGCGGUGCUCUACACCCACCUAGAGGAGCCUGUUCUAUAAUCGACAAUACCCGAUAAACCUCACCAUUUAUUGCCAAUACCGCCUAUAUACCGCCGUCGUCAGCUUACCCUUAAGGGAUAAAACAGUAAGCACAAUAAUAAACAUUAAAACGUCAGGUCAAGGUGUAGCGUAUUAAAUGGGAAGAAAUUGGCUACAUUUUCUACUAGAAAAUAACGAAAUAUUUAAUGAAAUUAAAUAUGAAGGCGGAUUUAGCAGUAAAAAGAAAACAGAGAGUUCUUUUUAAUUCGGUCCUGGAGCGCGCACACACCGCCCGUCACCCUCCUCAAACACCCAAUAAUAUUAUAUAAAUAAAAUUAAUUAAUAAGAAGAGGUAAGUCGUAACAUGGUAAGUGUACCGGAAGGUGUACUUGGUAU
rnacentral:ncRNA from 1 species